rnacentral:rRNA from 1 species
AGUGAACGCUGCGGUAGGCCUAACACAUGCAAGUCGAACGGCAGCACAGUAAGAGCUUGCUCUUACGGGUGGCGAGUGGCGGACGGGUGAGGAAUACAUCGGAAUCUACUUUUUCGUGGGGGAUAACGUAGGGAAACUUACGCUAAUACCGCAUACGACCUACGGGUGAAAGCAGGGGAUCUUCGGACCUUGCGCGAUUGAAUGAGCCGAUGUCGGAUUAGCUAGUUGGCGGGGUAAAGGCCCACCAAGGCGACGAUCCGUAGCUGGUCUGAGAGGAUGAUCAGCCACACUGGGACUGAGACACGGUCCAGACUCCUACGGGAGGCAGCAGUGGGGAAUAUUGGACAAUGGGCGCAAGCCUGAUCCAGCCAUACCGCGUGGGUGAAGAAGGCCUUCGGGUUGUAAAGCCCUUUUGUUGGGAAAGAAAAGCAGCAGGUUAAUACCCCGCUGUUCUGACGGUACCCAAAGAAUAAGCACCGGCUAACUUCGUG